UAUUGCACAAUGGGCGAAAGCCUGAUGCAGCGACGCCGCGUGAGGGAAGACGGUCUUCGGAUUGUAAACCUCUGUCUUUGGGGAAGAAAUCAGACGGUACCCAAAGAGGAAGCCCCGGCUAACUACGUGCCACCAGCCGCGGUAAUACGUAGGGAGCGAGCGUUGUCCGGAAUGACUGGGUGCAAAGGGAGCGUAGGCGGGCCUGUAAGUUGAAUGUCUAAUCCACCGGCUCAACCGGUGAUCGCGUUCAAAACUGCAGGUCUUGAGUGAAGUAGAGGCAGGCGGAAUUCCUAGUGCAGCGGUGAAAUGCGUAGAUAUUAGGAGGAACACCAGUGGCGAAGGCGGCCUGCUGGGCUUUAACUGACGCUGAGGCUCGAAAGCGUGGGGAGCAAACAGG
rnacentral:rRNA from 1 species